AGGACGAACGCUGGCGGCGUGCUUAACACAUGCAAGUCGAGCGGAAAGGCCCUUCGGGGUACUCGAGCGGCGAACGGGUGAGUAACACGUGAGUAAUCUGCCCCUAGCUCUGGGAUAGCUCCGGGAAACCGGGAUUAAUACUGGAUACGACCACCUUAGACAUCUUUUGUGGUGGAAAGAAUUUCGGCUAGGGAUGAGCUCGCGGCCUAUCAGCUUGUUGGUGGGGUAACGCCUACCAAGGCGACGACGGGUAGCCGGCCUGAGAGGGCGACCGGCCACACUGGGACUGAGACACGGCCCAGACUCCUACGGGAGGCAGCAGUGGGAAUAUUGCGCAAUGGGCGAAAAGCCUGACGCAGCGACGCCGCGUGGGGGAUGAAGGCCUUCGGGUUGUAAACCCCUUUCAGCAGGGACGAAGCGAAAGUGACGGUACCUGCAGAAGAAGACGCCGGCUAAACUACCGACGCCAGCAGCCGC
rnacentral:rRNA from 1 species